AUUGAACGCUGGCGGCAGGCCUAACACAUGCAAGUCGAACGGUAACAUUUCUAGCUUGCUAGAAGAGUGACGAGUGGCGGACGGGGUGAGUAAUGCCUGGGAAUUUGCCUUUGCGAGGGGGAUAACCAUUGGAAACGAUGGCUAAUACCGCAUAAUAGCUACGGCUCAAAGUGGGGAUUUCGGUCCUCGCGCGCAAAGAGAAGCCCAGGUGAGAUUAGCUAGUUGGUGAGGUAAAGGCUCACCAAGGCGACGAUCUCUAGCCGUUCUGAGAGGAAGAUCAGCCACACUGGAACUGAGACACGGUCCAGACUCCUACGGGAGGCAGCAGUGGGGAAUAUUGCACAAUGGGCGCAAGCCUGAUGCAGCCAUGCCGCGUGUGUGAAGAAGGCCUUCGGGUUGUAAAGCUCUUUCGCCUGUGAUGAUAAUGACAGUAGCAGGUAAAGAAACCCCGGCUAACUCCGUG
rnacentral:rRNA from 1 species